rnacentral:rRNA from 1 species
UACAGAGGGUGCGAGCGUUGUCCGGAAUCACUGGGCGUAAAGGGCGCGUAGGCGGACAGUUUAGUCAGAGGUGAAAGCCCAGGGCUCAACCUUGGAAUUGCCUUUGAUACUGGCUGUCUUGAGUUCGGGAGAGGUGAGUGGAAUGCCGAGUGUAGAGGUGAAAUUCGUAGAUAUUCGGCGGAACACCAGUGGCGAAGGCGACUCACUGGCCCGAUACUGACGCUGAGGCGCGAAAGCGUGGGGAGCAAACAGG